CUAUUUUAAUUGCAAUUUCAUUCCAUUCCUUAUCUACACAUUCUCUGUUGUGAUAUUCUUUCCUCUUAUGUGAAGUUUUUAAAAAACCUAUAUUAUGGGACCAUAUUAAUGAUUGAAUAAAGGCCGCUAUUUUUUUUCGAAAAAUUUCGAACAACACGACCAAAAGGAAGCAGCGACCAAAUAGAAUUGGUAGUUGGUAGUUGCUUCCAACUCGAGAGUUCGACUCACGCUACUUACGGCCGUAUUCACGACAGCGAGUCAACCUUCAGAGUCCACCAACCCAACAUUUCAUACAACCUCGGGUCUGGCCGAGGGUUACUUGCUGUUCGAAUUCAGAUACAACUUCGAAUACCGGGUCAGUCAACCCUAGGGUCCAAUUGGUUGCUAUACUGUUGCGAACGAGAGUUUGACUUGUAUUUUGUGUCGAAUAUACUGAAUGGAUAAGGAUAGUCACAUGCUCUGUUAGUAAAACAUGGCUGUCGAAGAAAGCGUAAGAAAAAUUUUUUCAACUUUCGAAAAAGAAGUUUUAUUAGUGCUUGCCGGAAAACAUGUAGCAAUUAUUGAAAAUAAAAAAACAAAUGCUGUUUUUAAUAAAGAAAAACAAGAAGCAUGGAAAAAUAUAGGUAAAUAUAACUUUAAAUUGUAAGAAUCUCAAAAAACUUUACAGUCGUAGAUCGGUAUUACUUUGAUAUUACUUUUAGCAUUUAUUAGUUUUAACCGCCGAUAAGUCACUUUUUUAUUUAUUAUAGCUAUAGAAUUUAACGCAGUUCCGGGAGUAACGCCUAGAAACAGUAAGCAAUUGUGGGAUUGCUAUAAAAAUUUCAAAAAAAGCGCUACUAAAGAACGAGCACGUUCAAAAAUAGAACUAUAUAAAACAAGAGGAGGACUUCCUCCCACUAUAACCUCAACCAAUUCGUUUGUGGGUCGAUUGGCAUCAAUGGGAGCAAUUAGGGAACCCCUACAAAAUAAUGUUGAUAGUCAUUCACAGUAUUUGAAAGAAACAUCAAGAAAUUCUAGAAACAUCAAUAUGUAGGUCUACAUCUCCAGUUGUUGAUAUACCACCUCCUUUAGACGAAGAAAUUUCCAUUGUUUGUACAAAAAUGAAUUCUGCAGAGCCAACAGAAAUUGCAGAUAGCAAUAAAGAAAAUGUGAUUACAAUUAGGACGACAAAAAAAAGAAAAAACAACCUCUCAUGCCACAGCAGCCAUUUUCGACCAGGCAACAGAAAGAAAAAACAAAAUAAAGAGGAGUAUGAAAUAAAAUUUUUACAAGAAGAGCAUGACCCUACAAUAACACUUUUGAAAGAAAAACAUAACCUGGAGAUGCAGUUAAUUCAAGAAGAGCAUAACAAGAAAAUAGAACUUUUGGAUGAAACAUUGAAACUGAAAAAAAAAUUGAAUUAGCAACAGAUAAUCCAUGAAGUUUAUCACUUCAUUUGUAAAGAUAAAUAUUUUCUAAAACAUUUAAUAAUAAAUUUAUAAAAUAUCUUUCAU
rnacentral:lncRNA from 1 species